rnacentral:lncRNA from 1 species
CCUGCGCAAAAUCCAUCGAGGCCCAAAAACUCUCCACGAUCGAUCGAUGAGCCUUGGCAAUUUGCCCCUUGGCCUCCCACUUGGCGUCAGCAACCCAGUCCUUGGCCAUCUUCUCAAUCUCCAUAACUUUGGCAGUGGCCUCUCCUGGCUCCUUCUUCCUCCAAGCAAGGCCGGCAUUAGUCUUAUUUAGCACCUCCUUCAGAUGCUCAAC